rnacentral:misc_RNA from 1 species
GGCCGCUACCUGUUUGAUGUGCCUUGGUUGUGAAGUUCAACCAUGGCACAGAGGAAGAAAAGGGUAAAGAACAUUGAACAGGUGUAGAAAUUAGUAAAUAUACAGCCUAAGUUAUGAAGUUGAAUCCACUUCUUCGUUCGUAUUCGCUGCAGAACUGGAAGUAACAUCUCUAGCCUCAGGUGCAGGUGCAGGACCUAAGCCCAGUAAUAAAGGAGUUUCUUUCUUUUCAGUUUUAGGACUUGUAUUGGCCGGAGGCCUUCCCGACCAAGCUCUCAGAGGAGGUUCAAA